rnacentral:rRNA from 1 species
GAUCCUGGCUCAGGAUGAACGCUAGCUACAGGCUUAACACAUGCAAGUCGAGGGGCAGCAUGAACUUAGCUUGCUAAGUUUGAUGGCGACCGGCGCACGGGUGAGUAACACGUAUCCAACCUGCCGAUGACUCGGGGAUAGCCUUUCGAAAGAAAGAUUAAUACCCGAUGGCAUAAUUCUUCCGCAUGGUAGAAUCAUUAAAGAAUUUCGGUUAUCGAUGGGGAUGCGUUCCAUUAGG